rnacentral:rRNA from 1 species
AACGAACGCUGGCGGCAUGCCUAACACAUGCAAGUCGAACGAGACCUUCGGGUCUAGUGGCGCACGGGUGCGUAACGCGUGGGAACCUGCCCUUAGGUUCGGAAUAACUCCCCGAAAGGGGUGCUAAUACCGGAUAAUGUCUUAGGACCAAAGAUUUAUCGCCUUUGGAUGGGCCCGCGUUGGAUUAGCUAGUUGGUAGGGUAAAAGCCUACCAAGGGGACGAUCCAUAGCUGGUCUGAGAGGAUGAUCAGCCACACUGGGACUGAGGCACGGCCCAGACUCCUACGGGAGGAAGCAGUGGGGAAUAUUGGACAAUGGGCGAAAGCCUGAUCCAGCAAUGCCGCGUGAGUGAUGAAGGCCUUAGGGUUGUAAAGCUCUUUUACCCGGGAUGAUAAUGACAGUACCGGGAGAAUAAGCUCCGGCUAACUCCGUG